UGAGGGAAAGCUGCAAAGUACUCUGAAGAGAGAGUUCAAAAGGACGUGAAGCCGUCUGCAGGGAAACGGGUGAGACCGCACGGUAGACCCGCNGCGGAUUCAGCUCCGGGGGCGANNCCCUCGGGGUGCACUUCCGCGCCUGCGGGUCGCGCAGGNCCCGACUCGACGGCCGUCUGAAGCCCGGCGAGGAGGUAACGGGGUCCUCCGGGAUUCCGGGUUUAACUCGUCGGCGCGGAGACCGGCUGUCGGGUCGAGGAACGUCCAUCCGUCUCCGUUCGCUCGCGAGACGCGUGGGGNCGGAUCGGCUCGUCGGUUCGACUGGGUUGGAGCCUUGCUUUGCUCGGCUGCUCCCGACUGCCGGCGGGUUCCUCUCUCGGUCACCUUUCGCCGGAUGACUAGGACACCUGCGCUCAGGUCGGCACCUCACCCGACCC
rnacentral:rRNA from 1 species